CGGACGGGUGAGUAACGCGUGGGUAACCUGCCUUGUACAGGGGGAUAACAGUUGGAAACGACUGCUAAUACCGCAUAAGCCCACGGCUCGGCAUCGAGCAGAGGGAAAAGGAGUGAUCCGCUUUGAGAUGGCCUCGCGUCCGAUUAGCUAGUUGGUGAGGUAACGGCCCACCAAGGCGACGAUCGGUAGCCGGACUGAGAGGUUGAACGGCCACAUUGGGACUGAGACACGGCCCAG
rnacentral:rRNA from 1 species